GAUGAAGAACGCAGCGAAAUGCGACACUUGGUGUGAAUUGCAGAAUCCCGCGAAUCAUCGAGUUUUUGAACGCAAGUUGCGCCCGAAGCCAUUCGGCCGAGGGCACGUCUGCCUGGGUGUCACGCAUCGUUGCCCCCCCCAAACUUCGGUUCGGGCGGGGCGGAAGUUGGCCUCCCGUGCGUGCCUGCGCGCGCGGUUAGCCCAAAAGCGAGUCCUCGGCGACGAGCGCCACGACAAUCGGUGGUUUUUUUACCCUCGUUCCUCGUCGUGCGUGCCCCGUCGCCCGAACGCGCUCUUGCGACCCUCACGCGUCGCCUCGGCGGCGCUCCCAACGCGACCCCAGGUCAGGCGGGACUACCCGCUGAGUUUAAGCAUAUCAAUAAGCGGAGAA
rnacentral:misc_RNA from 1 species